AUUGAACGCUGGCGGCAGGCCUAACACAUGCAAGUCGAGCGAGCGGCGGACGGGUGAGUAAUGCAUGGGGACUUCCCGAUAGGGGGGGAUAACAACUCGAAACAGUAGCUAAUACCGCAUAUUAUCGGAUAACCCAUAUGGGAUUAGCUAGUUGGUGAGGUAAUGGCUCACCUAGGCGACGAUCCCUAGCAUGUCUUAGAGGAUUAUCAGCCACACUGGGUCUGAGACACGGCCCAGACUCCUACGGAGGCAGCAGUGGGGAAUCUUGCGCAAUGGGCGCAAGCCUGAUGCAGCCACGCCGCGUGAAUGAAGAAGGCUCUAGGAUUGUAAAGUACUUUCGGUCGGGAGGCGUUAUCGACAGAAGAAGCCCCGGCUAACUCCGUGCCAGCAGCCGCGGUAAUUC
rnacentral:rRNA from 1 species